UCUCGUUUCGCAAAUUCGCGUUUCGUUUCGCCUGCUCCUAGAUUUUGUUCCACAGCCUCGUGCCAUUAGCCAUUUUCUCCGCUUUCGCAAAUUGUAACUUUUCGCACUUCAAUUGCAAUUUCGUCGUGGGUCAUAUCUCGCAACUUGAGUCUUAUCACUUGAUUUCAAGAUUUUUUACCAAGAUGCAUGAAGAAAUGGGACAGACAUCUUCCAGGAGAUUUCGAAGUAUCAGUUUUGUCCAGUCUAAUAAAGCAUCCUGUCAAAAAUGUAUGGAUGUAGCCCAGUACAUAGUCAGUAUAGAAUUUAAGCUGGCAGAUGAAGCCCGCAGUGAACAACCUGACUAAGAAAUCAUGGACCAUGAGAACGGACUUAAUAUUGAAAUUAAUGUCUCUAUCUUUCAAAUGCUUCAACUAGUGUACUUGAAGUUGUCUCAGAAUAGAGAAGCCCAUGAACUGAAUCAGUAAUGCUGGAAGAAGCCAUCAUCUGGAAGUAGGAGCGUAUCAGUAACAAAUUCUUUUAACAAAAUAAACAAAUGGAUGACAGAUGAAUUGUGUAAGUAAUUUUACACCAAUUGGUAUUGAAGAAAUAGGGCAGGGGAGAAACGAAAAGAAUACCCACUAUCUAUCAUGUUGUGAGGUUUUGAAUAAAUUAUGAAAUUAUAUAUACUAUUUUUAAGGAAUGAACUGCCUCGUGAAAACAGUUUGCCAAUCAAUAUUCUAAUGCCGUAUGUGAAGUCUUCACAUGCUUUGGAUAUUUUUGGAAAAAUGAGAACUGUCUACUCAUCAAGUUCUCACAAUUACAUGUUCUUCUUGAACCUAAGAGUUACAGUUAGAACACUUAGCCGCCUCAAAGACAAAACUUUUUUUUCUGGGGGGGGGGGGGGGGGGUAUGAUCCCCAAUUUUCAGUAGACCAUGAUUCGCUGUUCACCAUUGGACAACUUGCAGUUCGGCCAAAUCCUUCUCCGUCCCUGUCGAAGGUAUUGAAUUUAUUUUAGCAGGGUGGUUUUUCGAAUGUUGUGUUCUCAGGCAGCCCUGGUUACUAGAGUUCCAUCUCUCGCAGCUCUUGGCACUUUUUUCAUAGCUGAUCGUGGAUAAUCAGUUUUGGCCCAUGGCUCUAACUGACAUAUUUGCAACCUCCUGCUUGUUAAGGUUGCUUGUGUCAUGCCAUCUGAAAAUUCGAUAGGCUGUCAAUAAUUGUAAUAAUUGUCUGCUAAUUAAUGUUGCUGUGCUCUUCUACUAAAAUUGUUUGCGAAAAGAGACUGAGAAGAAAUCUAAAUGUGGACAUGUUGAAAUGGAAAUAAAACCGAUGUGGAAAAUGAAACCGCAAAUUCUUUCUACUGUAACUAAAGUAUCUGAGACUGUUGCUAAAAGAGUAGCAACAUGUAUCCAUGAAAUCCUAGAAAAGCACACCAUCACUAACCGUAGGUAAACAGUCAUCUUUAAACAUCACAUUGUCAUUAGUUUGCCCUGUAGGUACAGACUCUCUACCAGGAGAUCAUACCUCCUAACCUGUAACCUAAGAUUAAGUUUUGCAAUCAUUCUAAAUUUUGAUCAUACCUCCUAACCUGUAACCUAAGAUUAAGUUUUGCAAUCAUUCUAAAUUUUAACCAACACUAAGGCUACAUAUCUUGGAUAGACAACCUCCUGUCUGUCACAUCAGUGAUAGCUACCCCUCAUAAGUGAGCUUCAGAGGCAGAAAGUAGGUAAAUUAUUAUGUAAAUUAUCAAAUGUCUUCAAUCUAUUUGAUAAAGUGACAAAUUUACCUUAGGAAGUUAAUUACACACUCCUAUUUCAGGUAAGUGAUGCCUUUUUUAAACCUUUUAGAAUUUUCUCAUUGCACAAUUUGCCCGACAGAAGCUGAAUUUUUGAACUAUUUCGUAACAUGCCCAAAGUGUGUUUGGCAAAUUGCGAAAUUUGGAAUUGGCCUAGGAAAAUCGCAAUACGCCCGCAGGGUGUCUACAAGUCCAGAAUUUUUGGAAAGUGUCUACCAGUCCAGAAUUUCUGGCAAGUGUCUACAAGUCCAGAAUUUCCGGAAAUAAUACUGAUUUUUUAAGGGUGGUCCGGAAGUACCAUAUACGUGCAGAAAUUCAGCAAGAAGGUCCGAAAUUUUUUUCAUUUUUUUUGUUGCAUUUUAAGCGAGAAAUUCAAAUCUUUGAAAUUUUUCGAAUUUCAUCAAUUGGAGGUACUGAAAAAGUACUGAAUUUUUCUGUUGAGAAGGUACUGAAUUUCUUGGGAAUGUACUGAAAAAGUACUGCAAAAGUAAUGAUUUUUGACCAGCCUGCUUUAGUAGACACCCUGGCCCUGGUUUCGGGGUUAGACUGUAACAUGAAUAUUUUAACUAAUUGCCCUCCGAGUAUUGGUCCAACCAGCCUUUGAAUUUGUAGCAACUGAAAUUCCUUGUGUCUUAAAAAUCUUGAUAACUAUUUUUGGAGAGACUAAGUCUAUUCAAAUCAAGUUAAGAUUAUAAUAAUUUUUAGUCAUUUUGGUCCUAAUUAAGCCUCAUUGAACUUCGACCAGUAUUAAAUAUUUGUAAGCAUGGACUGGACCAGCCCAUAUUUAAAACCACUAAGUCUGAUGGAUGAGACGACAAUUCCUAUCUGAGAGAUCUAGUGAUCUGCUCCUAAGAGACGAAUCAAGAAAGUAAAAUACCAAUUUUUAUUAUUACUCUGCCUUUUACCUCUCGUUCGUUGCUCCAGCAAUUGCUUGAAUAAAUUGCAGAGACAAACUCUUUCAAAAUGAAUUUUAUUUCUAAUGUAGAAAACAAAUUGGUCAUUGAUAGCAGGUGAAAAAAUGUAAUUCAAGCACUCACUGAAUCAACCAUCUAACUCACAUUUUUCUCCUAUUGAGAAAAGCUGGUUUAUGUUUAAAAUUCAUUUUGAAUACCAUUAGGAACCUACACAAGUUAAAGUUCCUUAAAAACACAAGGACAAUUUUUGGUAAAAACA